rfam:Capsicum annuum cultivar Zunla-1 chromosome 3, whole genome shotgun sequence
UGAUGAUGGUUAGGGAAAUUUCUAAGCAUAGCGUUGAAUCUUUCCCAAGCUUUUAAAGAUUUUCUCCAUCUUUCUACUUGAAACUUAGAAUCUCACUUCUCAAAUG